ACCCCCGUAGCUCAGUUGGAUAGAGCAUUCGCCUCCUAAGCGAAGGGCCACAGGUUCGAAUCCUGUCGGGGGUACCA
rnacentral:tRNA from 1 species